rnacentral:rRNA from 1 species
UACGUAGGUGGCAAGCGUUGUUCGGAUUUACUGGGCGUAAAGGGCGCGUAGGCGGCCACGACAAGUCACUUGUGAAAUCUCCGGGCUUAACUCGGAACGGUCAAGUGAUACUGUCGGGCUAGAGUGCAGAAGGGGCAACUGGAAUUCUCGGUGUAGCGGUGAAAUGCGUAGAUAUCGAGAGGAACGCCUGCGGCGAAGGCGGGUUGCUGGGCUGACACUGACGCUGAGGCGCGAAAGCCAGGGGAGCGAACGGG